UGUGAUGUCCCGACUUUGCAUAUUUAUACGUGAUUAUUAAAAAGUUAUACGGCAAUUAGUGAUAUACUUAGUACUAAGCAUCCUCUGUCUAGAUUAUCUAUUUUUUCUUUUAAUCAAACAGAAGAUUCCAUCUUACUCUUCAUAACUGGUUUUCUUCCUCCGCAGAGCACACAUCAUCCAUCUUCUUCUUCCUAUUCCUGUUCAUUUCUCUUCUUUGUUUGCUUCAUCUUCUAUUUCUGUUAGUUACAAUCAUCAUUCAAUCUCUUCAAGAGAGGCAGCCAGGGAACUUUAUUUUCAGGAGAGAGCAUUGAAAUCAUCGUAGAUCCAGGUGAUCUUGGAAGGAAAAUCAAAACCUGGGUUUUGGAUUUUGAUGUUCAAAUGUGGUUCCUUUUUGAGUAAUUGGUAGGAGGAUUGAUGAUUUUCUCACAGGUGAUUGUUAGAAGAAUUGGGGUUGUUGAUUUAAGAAAUUAUUAUCUAGUGAAUUGAGAUUAGGGUACGCUUUGGAACAGGAACAAUGUACGCUUUGGAGCAGAUUUUGUGUUGUAAUCAUCUAUUGGAGCUUCUACGGAUGUUAAAUUUAAUUCCAGCAGGUUUCAUUUGGUUGUGUUCUUACUAGUAGCUCUGUUACAAGUUGAGUUGUGUCUUAAAUUUGCAUGUUUCUAAUCUUUGGGAUGUUAUGGGUGUUCCAUUUCUGAAUAUUUUUUGGUGUUAUACAAUUUGGAUUUGUUUUUAUGUGUGUUGCGUAUAUAUCUCGAAUGUGGGCAUGAUAUUGGAGUGUCAAUUGGAAUGUAAUUUGAACUCAGGUAGACAGAGUCCAUUCCAAUGUCCCCUGUGGAGAGUUGCCCGUUGGUGUUUCAAGAUAUUCUCAGCUUACCACAUGUCUCUCAACAUCUUGAAGCUAGAAAAAAUUUUGUCGGAUGAAGAAAUCAUCUUAGAAGAAAUUAAAGAGGACUCAAAAGGUAAACUUGUUGGAACUUAUGUAUGGAUCGUUUGGUUGGUCUAUUGGUACAGUUGUUACAAUGGAUGCUUGCAGCUUCUUUGCAUUUUGGUUGGGUCUUGGCCAGAAUGUUAGGCGUCGAGUGUCCAGAGAGAAAACAGAUGUGAUUUUGAAACUAGUUGUUAAGCAGUUUUUUGUAGAGACAGACGUCACGUCCACUUUGGUAUUGGAUUAUCUCUAUAGUGGUUUAAAGGCUUUUGAAUGCCAUAGUAAGAGUAAUACAAUACAGCUGUAGAAAAGGUAAUGGACGCUGCGGAAUCACUAGCUCCUAUUGUCCAUGUUGCGAAUGGCAUGGUUACCUAGUGGAUGAUGUGUUGUUACUUCUUGAGAGAGCUGUGCUUGAGGUUUUGCCUCCAAGGGAUGAAAAGGGUCCUCAAAACUGUAACGAGGAUGGGAACUCAUGUGAAGAUGCCUAUCACAUUUGGCUCUGUGCUUUUAAAAAUAAAAUAAAACUAUGGAGAUACUUACAUUUCUCAAAGCAGUCAUACGCUCCUGGGGUUUUUGCCUUGAUUUUUCCACAAGUGAAGAUCUUUGGAGAGUGGACAGUGCCUUUGUGUAUCAUUGAUAAGAUACCAACUCACAGAGCUACAGAGAACAACCACAAGCUAUAGACAUUUUUUCAUUAUGCACAAAACAUUGAAACAACUCAACAUACAACAGGUUGCGCAUCCGCAUCAUCCCAUUUUCAGUUGAUAGCAAAACUGCAAUGUUGAAAGGCAUAGAGGGCAAGAAAUAAAAGUCCCGAAUUGUAAGAGUGUGGAGUGUCAAACUAACAUCAGCAUUCUACUAUGUAGGAAUUACCAAUAGGUACUAUUAUAGUGUUCUUAGUUAGUGGCAGGUCCACCCAUUAAAGCCCAGUAACCGGAGGUCCAUAAUUAAAACAAAACAUAAAAAUGGACCAAAUUUUUUAAGCCCAGGUCCUACACACGUGUGUAACCUAUUACGUGCAUUUUAAUAAUUCCUAAAAUGGCCUUCACUAUAAAUAUAACAGAAAUAAAAGCCACAUUUUCUCAAUUUUCUUCUCAGAUCCGUUUUCUCUUGCUCUCCUCUUCUCUGCUGCAGCCGCUUAUGAAGUUUAGACCUAGGGUUUGUGAAGAUGUUUUGUGGUUUUACAGGUUCAAUAUGUCCAACGGAUACAUACUCUAUAUGUAAGCAGUGAGGCAGAUACAUACUUAGAUUUGUACGUAGUGUAGCAGAUAUGUACUCAGAUUUGUAAGCAGUGUACCAGAUAUGUACUCAAAUUUGUAAGCAGUGUAGACACACACGUUUGGUAGUAAUGGGUAUUAUGGACAUUUCC